UUUGAUCCCCUUUGAAGUCACAUUUGAAGCUCAAUUAAAUCCUUAAGAUUUCCUUUAAUUGGUGAAAGCAGCAACAAAUUAAUUAUGUUCACUGACAGAACACUGACAUGCAAUUCCUAUAAUCAAGCUGGACCAGUUUCCUUGUCAAGAAUUGUCAGCCAGAGAAAAUAAAAAAAUAAAAAACAAUCAAAAAAAUACAACAUGUUCUAAAAUCCAGCUUCCUCAGUCAUCAUAUGUUGUUGUUAAUGGAAAUCAUGACCUGUAGGCAGACCAGCAGCAUCACAUAUGCUUGCAUCUACAUCCGGAGUGACAAUUUCAUUGAGCAACACUCCCGCCUCCAACUCUUCAUACAACUGUCUCAAACAGGUCAUGCCAAACAGAACGUGGACAUCUUCAUCAUGAGCAAACGACGUCGCCUCAUAUUUUUAUUCUUAUUGCUGUGGGUAUCAGGUCUAACUGAUGGGGGGGAAGUCAAGCAGACCUCCAUGCUCUGGAAAAACCAGGGUGAUAAUGUAUCUAUAGAAUGCAGUCAUACCUAUGGCAGUAGCUAUUUCCAAAUGUACUGGUACAGACAGCUGCCUGGAGAACUAAUGAAACAAAUGGUUUUUACUACUGCAAACUCCCAACCUGACUUUGAACCAGACUUCAGGGAUGAAAAAUUCUCAACCAUCAAGCGUGACGCUCACAGUGGGACACUGAUAGUGAAGAAUUUGGUGCCAGGAGAUCAAGGCUUGUAUUUCUGUGCUGUCAGUAUGCACAGUGAUACAGCCACACUCAACACUCGUACAAAAACUCCAGAUCAUAAACUGUAGGGGGAUGUCAAGGACCACAAAUACUCACAACUGAACGUGGAUUCAUCGUGUGAAAGGUGACACCACAGAUAACAAGAUGACAGAGCUCCACACAGAGCAGUGACACAACCACCUGCAACCCUUCAUAGCAAUAUAAAUUCAUACUGUCAUUUAUUCGUGUUUCAAAGACUACUACAACACAGACAUUAUCAAACACGUUCACCUCUAUUGUUUGAUGCUUCUGCUAUGGAUGAGAGGUGACUUUGACUAAGGUCCCAUCUAGAGCGUUCAGUAUUUCAGGACCUUUUGCAUUACUUGUUUUUUCUGCAAAAAACUAAAACAGUAUAGGAUAACAGCUCUUUGAGAUUCAUGCACUUCCACAACUUUGUGACAGCAGAAACCUGGCCAUUUCUAAUGUUUCUGUGACUGACAGUGCUGUGUAUUUCUGUGCUGCUAGUCAGCACAUAAAUACAGAUUCCACUGAAGUCAAUACA